GGGGCUAUAGCUCAGACUGGGAGAGCGCCUGCUUUGCACGCAGGAGGUCUGCGGUUCGAUCCCGCAUAGCUCCACCA
rnacentral:tRNA from 1 species